rnacentral:rRNA from 1 species
GAGUUUGAUCAUGGCUCAGAUUGAACGCUGGCGGCAUGCCUUACACAUGCAAGUCGAACGGCAGCAUGAUCUAGCUUGCUAGAUUGAUGGCGAGUGGCGAACGGGUGAGUAAUACAUCGGAACGUGCCCUGUAGUGGGGGAUAACUAGUCGAAAGAUUAGCUAAUACCGCAUACGACCUGAGGGUGAAAGUGGGGGACCGCAAGGCCUCAUGCUAUAGGAGCGGCCGAUGUCUGAUUAGCUAGUUGGUGGGGUAAAGGCCCACCAAGGCGACGAUCAGUAGCUGGUCUGAGAGGACGAUCAGCCACACUGGGACUGAGACACGGCCCAGACUCCUACGGGAGGCAGCAGUGGGGAAUUUUGGACAGUGGGCGAAAGCCUGAUCCAGCAAUGCCGCGUGUGUG